GCGAAAAACUCCUUAAUCUCCGCUACAAUGGCUGGGCUCACUGCAGUCCAAUUUGCUUGGAAGAAGGAUGCUGAGAAUCCAUCGGGACCUGGUGCUUUAUCCGGAUGGAUAGAGAAGAGAGCUUUUUUGAUCUCUGCUUCUGUUGGUGAGCUGAGUUCCCUCUAACCCUAAUCAGCAAAGAAACCAGGUUCGUCUUUUCUCUACGUGCGACGGGGAGUGACGUUUGUGAUUCUUCUCAGGACCUGAAACGGUCUGAUUAAUGGCUCUGUGUUUAAUUCCAUUGAUUCACACCUCCACGAUGUGUCUUCAAAGCAUUGUUUAGAUCUGAGAGGCGGUGUGGUUUCGGUAUAAAUAUAUGUGAGAUCCCUCUCCUGGAACUCAUCUUCUCUUCUUCAUUUGGAGCUUUUGUAUACUGGUAAAACGCUGAUGAAGUUCAAGAAAAGGAGUAGCAGAGCUAAGGGUCUGACUUUCCACCCCAGAAAACCAAGAAAUCUCGCCAAUUUUCUGAGAGUUUUUAUCCAUAAAUGAUAAACCAUAUUGUCUUCAAUUAAUUCUAGCAGAGGAAGUAACAACAGGCUCUUAUGAGUUAUGACGUCCCUGAGGCUACGGAAACAUGGUCAAGAUGUGAUUCAUUGGUUUCUUCAGUUUAGAGUCCACAAAAUUCAUGUUCUAUCAAUUUUGUGUUCUACUUUUGAAUCUUCAGUUGUAAAAAGGAAGAACAGAUAUAGCAAUGUACCAAUUUUUAUUGAAUGAAGCUAUUUUACUUA